rnacentral:misc_RNA from 1 species
AAGUCGUAACAAGGUUUCCGUAGGUGAACCUGCGGAAGGAUCAUUAACACGUAUCCAACGUUAAACAACCAAAAAAAAAAGAACCUUCAUACCUGCUCUCCUUGAAGGCAAUCCCUGGUAAAUCACGCGAACAGUUUGAUUCAGGGACUUCCGUCUUGGAUUCGAUGCGGAGACCAACUGUUAGACUUGGCGUCUGCUUGCAGAUAACCGAAUAAUCGGAUCGCUGGUCACCACGGCCAUGCGGACAAGUCUCUGGGUCGAGAGGCCCCCUCUAUAUUAACCCCAAUUUACGUAAAGGGGAUGCGGAAACGCUCCUCAAAAAAAAAUCGAACAACUGUUAACAAUGGAUAUCUUGGUUCUC